CUUUAAACAAAAUGAUCGUGUUUACUUGCCAAAGAGGUCGACUGAAAAUGUGCACCUUCGGUUGGCCACCAGAACGCCGGCCAUGGUGAUGGUGUGGACCGCCAUAACAGCCGAUGGUCGGUCUCCGCUCCGCUUCGCCGGCAAUGGACCAGAGUGUGACGGUUUCAUUGGCCGUUUGAAGGCCAUAAUUCGUGACAAUGGUGACCAAUUCGAACAAAUCUAAACUUAUUCUAAAAUUUGAUGCUCUUUCCGACAUUUUUUGCUUUCAUACAAUAAAAUUAAA